CACCAGGAUGGUUACAAAGGUCACCAGGAUAUCAGACACGUUACCGCCCUUAAUACAAGAAACUGUGCUUACAACAGAGUUGCACCAGAAAGUAAACUAGCAGCCCUUCCAGACCAAAAGCAGCAAGUUUUGGGGAGCCAGCAACUUGCUCCCUGCACAUGGAAGAGCCAUGAGCCAUGGUAUGGGGGCCACAGCGAGCAAGAGAGCAGG
rnacentral:lncRNA from 1 species